UUGAAAGGCAGUCUAGGUUGCAAGGACUACA
rnacentral:piRNA from 1 species